GCUUUGAUGAUCAACAAUUGUGUUAUUAGGAUCUUAUUUAACAGGUGAACUUUUAAUUUUGAUAACCUGAGAGCAGACAAAACCUGGGGCACCC